GCAGCGGCGACCGGAGCGGUAGGAGCAGCAAUUUAUCCGUGUGCAGCCCCAAACUGGAAAGAAGAUGCUAAUUAAAGUGAAGGAAUGAUGAGAAGACAGCAGCUGAUUACAAGAUUUUAGGUGGUUCAGUCCUUCACCUGGUGUUGGCUCUGAGAGGAGGAGGUGGUCUUAGGCAGUGAUGGACCCUCCAUUUUACCUCUUUACCCUGUCGCUCAUAAUGAGGCAUCAUAUAUCCUCUCACUCUCUGGGACACCAUAGCCACUGCCCCCUCCCCUGGAUGCCCAGU
rnacentral:lncRNA from 1 species